AAGUCGAACGUUUGACUUCGGUCAGGCGUGGCGGACGGGUGAGUAACACGUGGGAACCUGCCCAGAGGUACGGGAUAACCCAGGGAAACUUGGGACAAUACCGUAUGUGGCCUGAGGGUGAAAGAUUUAUCGCCUUUGGAUGGGCCCGCGUCGGAUUAGGUAGUUGGUGGGGUAAAGGCCUACCAAGCCGACGAUCCGUAGCUGGUCUGAGAGGAUGAUCAGCCACACUGGGACUGAGACACGGCCCAGACUCCUACGGGGGGCAGCAGUGGGGAAUAUUGGACAAUGGGCGCAAGCCUGAUCCAGCAAUGCCGCGUGAGUGAUGAAGGCCUUAGGGUUGUAAAGCUCUUUCACCCACGACGAUGAUGACGGUAGUGGGAGAAGAAGCCCCGGCUAACUUCGUGCCAGCAGCCGCGGUAAUACGAAGGGGGCUAGCGUUGUUCGGAAUGACUGGGCGUAAAGGGCGCGUAGGCGGUUGACCAAGUUGGGGGUGAAAGCCCGGGGCUUAACCUCGGAAUUGCCUCCAAAACUGGUCGGCUUGAGUGUGGAAGAGGGUUGUGGAAUUCCCAGUGUAGAGGUGAAAUUCGUAGAUAUUGGGAAGAACACCAGUGGCGAAAGCGACAACCUGGUCCAUUACUGACGCUGAGGCGCGACAGCGUGGGGAG
rnacentral:rRNA from 1 species